GACGAACGCUGGCGACGUGCCUAAUACAUGCAAGUCGAACGAAACUUUCUUACACCGAAUGCUUGCAUUCACCGUAAGAAGUUGAGUGGCGGACGGGUGAGUAACACGUGGGUAACCUGCCUAAAAGAAGGGGAUAACACUUGGAAACAGGUGCUAAUACCGUAUAUCUCUAAGGAUCGCAUGAUCCUUAGAUGAAAGAUGGUUCUGCUAUCGCUUUUAGAUGGACCCGCGGCGUAUUAACUAGUUGGUGGGGUAACGGCCUACCAAGGUGAUGAUACGUAGCCGAACUGAGAGGUUGAUCGGCCACAUUGGGACUGAGACACGGCCCAAACUCCUACGGGAGGCAGCAGUAGGGAAUCUUCCACAAUGGACGCAAGUCUGAUGGAGCAACGCCGCGUGAGUGAAGAAGGUCUUCGGAUCGUAAAACUCUGUUGUUAGAGAAGAACACGAGUGAGAGUAACUGUUCAUUCGAUGACGGUAUCUAACCAGCAAGUCACGGCUAACUACGUGCCAGCAGCCGCGGUAAUACGUAGGUGGCAAGCGUUGUCCGGAUUUAUUGGGCGUAAAGGGAACGCAGGCGGUCUUUUAAGUCUGAUGUGAAAGCCUUCGGCUUAACCGGAGUAGUGCAUUGGAAACUGGAAGACUUGAGUGCAGAAGAGGAGAGUGGAACUCCAUGUGUAGCGGUGAAAUGCGUAGAUAUAUGGAAGAACACCAGUGGCGAAAGCGGCUCUCUGGUCUGUAACUGACGCUGAGGUUCGAAAGCGUGGGUAGCAAACAGG
rnacentral:rRNA from 1 species